GAUGAACGCUGGCGGCGUGCCUAAUACAUGCAAGUCGAGCGAACGGACGAGAAGCUUGCUUCUCUGAUGUUAGCGGCGGACGGGUGAGUAACACGUGGAUAACCUACCUAUAAGACUGGGAUAACUUCGGGAAACCGGAGCUAAUACCGGAUAAUAUUUUGAACCGCAUGGUUCAAAAGUGAAAGACGGUCUUGCUGUCACUUAUAGAUGGAUCCGCGCUGCAUUAGCUAGUUGGUAAGGUAACGGCUUACCAAGGCAACGAUGCAUAGCCGACCUGAGAGGGUGAUCGGCCACACUGGAACUGAGACACGGUCCAGACUCCUACGGGAGGCAGCAGUAGGGAAUCUUCCGCAAUGGGCGAAAGCCUGGCGGAGCAACGCCGCGUCAGUGAUGAAGGUCUUCGGAUCGUAAAACUCUGUUAUUAGGGAAGAACAUAUGUGUAAGUAACUGUGCACAUCUUGACGGUACCUAAUCAGAAAGCCACGGCUAACUACGUG
rnacentral:rRNA from 1 species